rnacentral:rRNA from 1 species
UCGCCUGUUUAUCAAAAACAUAGCCUUUUGAUACAUAAAUAAAAGGUAAGUUCUGCCCAGUGAAAUUUCAACGGCCGCGGUAACCUGACCGUGCUAAGGUAGCAUAAUAAUUUGUCUCCUAAUUUGAGAAUAGAAUGAAUGAAUAAACAAUAAGGUAACUGUCUCAUAAUAAAAAAUAAAAAUUUAUUUAAGGGUGAAAAAGCCCUUAUUAAAUAAAAAGACAAAAAGACCCUAGAAGCUUUAUAAAUAUUUAAAAAAACUUUAAAAUUUUUUUAGCUGGGAGGGCUUUAAGAAUACAUAACACUUUUUAAAAAAAAGAAUUAUAUCAACUUAAUUUAACCUUAAUAAGAAUAUAAGUAAGCUACUCUAGGGGUAACAGGCUAAUACUCCUUAAGAGUACUUAUUGACAGGAGUGUUUGGCACCUCGAUGUUGGCUUAGGAAACUUAUUUUAUGCAGAAGUAAAAUUAAGUGGUUUGUUCAACCUUUAAUAUCCUACAUGAUCUGAGUUCAAACCGGAG